rnacentral:rRNA from 1 species
UACGUAGGCAGCAAGCGUUGUUCGGAGUUACUGGGCGUAAAGAGUGUGUAGGCGGAUGGGUAAGUUUGGUGUGAAAUCUCCCGGCUUAACUGGGAGGGUGCGCCGAAAACUGCCUGUCUUGAGUGCGGGAGAGGAAAGCGGAAUUCCUGGUGUAGCGGUGAAAUGCGUAGAUAUCAGGAGGAACACCUGCGGUGUAGACGGCUUUCUGGACCGUAACUGACGCUGAGACACGAAAGCGUGGGUAGCAAACAGG